GAAACGGAUUUUUAUUCAAAUCCAUCCAAUUUAAAAAUAAAAAAGAUAU
rfam:Stegodyphus mimosarum contig16382, whole genome shotgun sequence.